rnacentral:lncRNA from 1 species
AAAGAAAAGUUGCUUGAGGAUUGUUGAUCAAUUUUUGCUGAGUUGACUACCAUAGCACAAGAUGGAGGACCACGUGAGCAUGUAAUUAACAUGGACUGGCUGGAACAAGAAAUAGUUAUGGAAGAGCAGCUGGAAAGAGGAAGAGAAGAACAAAGAAAAAGGGAGGAGCAAACGAAAAGAGAGAAACAAA